GACGAACGCUGGCGGCGUGCCUAAUACAUGCAAGUCGAACGCAGUGGGGACGGGUGAUUAACACGUGGGUAACCUCCCAUCAGAGGGGAUAACACUUGGAAACAGGUGCUAACCCGCUAUUGAUGGAUGACGCCGGGGUGCAUUAGCUAGUUGGUGGGGUAACGGCUCACCAAGGCCACGAUGCAUAGCCGGCCUGAGAGGUGGAUCGGCCACACUGGGACUGAGACACGGCCCAGACUCCUACGGGAGGCAGCAGUAGGGAAUCUUUGGCAAUGGACGAAAGUCUGACCGAGCAACGCCGCGUGAGUGAAGAAGGUUUUCGGAUCGUAAAACUCUGUUGUUAGAGAAGCGGUAUCUAACCAGAAAGCCACGGCUAACUACGUGCCAGCAGCCGCGGUAAUAC
rnacentral:rRNA from 1 species